rnacentral:rRNA from 1 species
CGCUCAGGACGAACGCUGGCGGCGUGCUUAACACAUGCAAGUCGAACGAUGAACCACUUCGGUGGGGAUUAGUGGCGAACGGGUGAGUAACACGAUGGGCAAUCUGCCCUGCACUCUGGGACAAGCCCUGGAAACGGGGUCUAAUACCGGAUACUGACCUGCCAAGGCAUCUUGGCGGGUCGAAAGCUCCGGCGGUGCAGGAUGAGCCCGCGGCCUAUCAGCUUGUUGGUGAGGUAAUGGCUCACCAAGGCGACGACGGGUAGCCGGCCUGAGAGGGCGACCGGCCACACUGGGACUGAGACACGGCCCAGACUCCUACGGGAGGCAGCAGUGGGGAAUAUUGCACAAUGGGCGAAAGCCUGAUGCAGCGACGCCGCGUGAGGGAUGACGGCCUUCGGGUUGUAAACCUCUUUCAGCAGGGAAGAAGCGAAAGUGACGGUACCUGCAGAAGAAGCGCCGGCUAACUACGUGCCAGCAGCCGCGGUAAUACGUAGGGCGCAAGCGUUGUCCGGAAUUAUUGGGCGUAAAGAGCUCGUAGGCGGCUUGUCACGUCGGUUGUGAAAGCCCGGGGCUUAACCCCGGGUCUGCAGUCGAUACGGGCAGGCUAGAGUUCGGUAGGGGAGAUCGGAAUUCCUGGUGUAGCGGUGAAAUGCGCAGAUAUCAGGAGGAACACCGGUGGCGAAGGCGGAUCUCUGGGCCGAUACUGACGCUGAGGAGCGAAAGCGUGGGGAGCGAACAGGAUUAGAUACCCUGGUAGUCCACGCCGUAAACGGUGGGCACUAGGUGUGGGCAACAUUCCACGUUGUCCGUGCC